ncrna:unclassified sequences S15-Flavobacteria ribosomal protein leader
UAUAUUUGCGCCGCUGAUAUUAGCAUACAUAAUAAUCAUUUAAAAAAUAUUGGAAUG